UACGUAGGGUGCAAGCGUUGUCCGGAAUUAUUGGGCGUAAAGGGCUCGUAGGCGGUUCGUCACGUCGGGAGUGAAAACUCGGGGCUUAACCCCGAGCCUGCUUCCGAUACGGGCAGACUAGAGGUAGGCAGGGGAGAGCGGAACUCCUGGGUGUAGCGGGUGGAAAUGCGCAGAUAUCAGGAAGAACACCGGUGGCGAAAGGCGGCUCUCUGGGCCUUACCUGCG
rnacentral:rRNA from 1 species